CUAGGAAUCUGCCUGGUAGUGGGGNACAACGUUUCGAAAGGAACGCUAAUACCGCAUACGUCCUACGGGAGAAAGCAGGGGACCUUCGGGCCUUGCGCUAUCAGAUGAGCCUAGGUCGGAUUAGCUAGUUGGUGAGGUAAUGGCUCACCAAGGCGACGAUCCGUAACUGGUCUGAGAGGAUGAUCAGUCACACUGGAACUGAGACACGGUCCAGACUCCUACGGGAGGCAGCAGUGGGGAAUAUUGGACAAUGGGCGAAAGCCUGAUCCAGCCAUGCCGCGUGUGUGAAGAAGGUCUUCGGAUUGUAAAGCACUUUAAGUUGGGAGGAAGGGCAUUAACCUAAUACGUUAGUGUUUUGACGUUACCGACAGAAUAAGCACCGGCUAACUCUGUGCCAGCAGCCGCGGUAAUACAGAGGGUGCAAGCGUUAAUCGGAAUUACUGGGCGUAAAGCGCGCGUAGGUGGUUUGUUAAGUUGGAUGUGAAAGCCCCGGGCUCAACCUGGGAACUGCAUCCAAAACUGGCAAGCUAGAGUACGGUAGAGGGUGGUGGAAUUUCCUG
rnacentral:rRNA from 1 species